UUUGGCAGGUUGCUGGACUUGCCAUUGUUUCUGUUAUUUGUUUUACCUCAAGUUCGGUUGUUGCUUUUUUCACAAAUAUACCAGUGCUGUAUCAUUGUGAUUGGCGGAGCUUUAGAGGGAUCUAUGUCUCUCUUCUACUGAUCGUAUACUAUUUUAUAGGUUCAUCUGUACCUUCAGCUUUUGUAUUAUGGAUAAUGAGAGAACUGCCGCCGUCGGUUGUGAUAAACGUACCCGAAGAAUCAAGAACACUUGCUUUUGUUAGUGACUAUUCACCUGCAACAGAACCCCAGCAGAAUUGGACAACGAUUGCUACUGCACAGAAUCAGGCACUAAAAGCAAUCCACUAUUUAUAUUUGAUCAUCAGGUGGUGGGCUCAGGAUCCCUUUCAAUCACAGCAACCCGCAAGCCAUGGCUAAUAUGCUUUGGAGAUAAAUCUCAUUAGUUUUGAUAUCAACAACGUGAUAUGAAGAUUCACAAUGUAGGAACACGAGAAACCAAUUGGAUUUUCGUUGUUGCGAUACCCACAUCGUAACAAAGGUCUGGCCUUCACUGACAAAGAGAGAGAUGCUCAUUAUUUACGUGGUUUUUUCCUCUGGUUGUCGAUCACGAUCUUCAGGUUUUUAUAUUUUUUGUACUCGCCCCAGCUUCUAUUUUUCUACAUCUUUUCUGAAUUGUCAACUAGCCCAAGUGACUGAACGAACUUUGGAUAGUUUGGGAGCUGAGAGCCAUUGGAAGGUUUCUAUAUAAGUACUCCUAAGCUGAAGCCGAAGAAUAUAAUAAUUUUCAAAGACUGGGAACCACCCGACCCGCUCAUUACCAUGUACUUCUCAAUCAGAUUGGCUUCUCUGCAUAUUAGUUACAUCCUAUGUUGGAUACGGGGUCAGGGCCAGACAGGUGGAGGUGCUAUUUAGAAGGCUCGGGCGAGUUUACUGUUUGCAACCUUCAUUACAAGCUACAAAGGUCUGGUGCAUUCAGUAGUGGGUUAUGUUUCUGCCAGAACAAUUGGUCUCUCUUGAAAGUGAUUUUUUUAGCGUGGAGGGUUGCUUUAAAUGGGUUACCCACGUUGACAGCCUUACAGCAGAGAGGAAUUGGUUUGGGCUCGGUCCGAUAGCCUAAUAUAUUAAUUUCCAGGGUCUCCAAAUAUAUGUAAUAAUUUCUUUUUCGGGUUGUC